rnacentral:rRNA from 1 species
UCGCCUGUUUAUCAAAAACAUCGCUUAAAUUCUAAGUAAAUCCUGCUCAGUGAAUAAUUUUUAACAGCCAGUUGAUGCUAAGGUAGCAUAAUAAUUUGCUUUAUAAUUGAGAGAUAGAAUGAAUGGGUUUACUAAAAAAAUUUAUUUUCAUCCAAAUUUUAAUUUUUUUUCUAAUGAAAAUUUUAGGAUAAUUUUUUUAGACGAUAAGACCCUAUGAAGCUUUACUGGAAACCAGUUUUUUUGGGGCAAAAUUUAAUAAUUAUAUUGUUUUUUCAGAAUAAUUUUGAUCUUUUAAAAUUACAAGAAAAAGCUACUCUAGGGAUAACAGCAUAAUUUUAAAAAAAGUUCUUAUUAAGCUUAAAGUUUGUGACCUCGAUGUUGA